AAACGAGCCUCACGUUGCUUAUGGUCCGCAACGGCUCUCUCUCUCUCUCUCGUCCCUUAAUGAACGAACUUUCAUGCACUUGUUACUCUGGAUUUCUUCUUCUCUGCUGCAAGACCUCCUUAACAGAGGUAAACUUGGACACCCAAAAUUUGUUUGUUUCUACUACAUUUGUCAGCAACAAAAAGAACAAAAUAGAAAGAGAAAAUGAAAAGUUAUGAUCUUUGGAGUAAACAAUUUUGUCAAUAUUUUCGCAAUAAACAUAGAUCGAUAAUACUCGUGGAAUUAUAACCAAAAGUUUCGGAUAUGGAAAUUAUCAGCCAAACAAACAAAAACCAUAGAGAAAUAGAGACCCACUUCUUAAUCAGGUCAGCGACUGUUUCUAACUCCACUAAUCGUUGCUUGGGAUUAUGACCUACUGGGAAUGCUUCCACAGCCAUGAAGUCAAUUAUUCUGUAAUACACAAGUUGAUGCACCCCUACCGCGGAUGCAUUUGCUUGGCUGAAGUAGUAAAGGUGGACCAAGGCCAUGCUUGACCUGAGGUUCAUACCUGAGAAGCACAGCCGAGGGCGGGUUGUAGGACUGAAUACUCCAUUGUAGCAGCCGUGUGGGCUCUGCAUAGGACAUGAUGUGACUUCAGCUUAUAUCUCACCCCGGCAGAUCGAUGAUUCUCCAAGUGGCCGAUUAUUCUCUACGAGAACCCCAACCAGUCAUACGCACAUAAUUGAUGAUAGCCACCCAUUAGCUGCCCUUGGCACUAUGAAGGGUUUGUUUGCGGGAUGGAAUGUGAAUGCCAUAUAAAGGACAUGCACAAAAAACGUCUUCUGAAAAAGGAAAAGCACCCGGGAAACUUGCCAGUUUCUGAGCUUGUUUUCUCGUUCUUUGUGCACCCUUUAUACGAAAGUUGAGGUAAUAAUGUCUUCAAGCUGCUCGGGGCAUGUCUUAGACCAUGCAUCUGAAGUUUCUAGUAUUAUAUGAAAGUUCUAUGAGAUUAGUUUACAUGUCCUAAAACGUUUUUCCCCCAGUUUAUUUAUUUAUUUUUUUUGGGUUCCUUGAGAAGAAUGUAAAACAUGUAAUCAUCAGUUAUUGAAAUAGCUGUAACCUGUAGGAUAACCUUCUUAAGUUUAUUCUAGGCUACUAAUCCUUAACGAUGCUAA